UACGUAGGUGGCAAGCGUUGUCCGGAUUUAUUGGGUUUAAAGGGUGCGUAGGCGGCUUUGUAAGUCAGUGGUGAAAUAUGGCAGCUUAACUGUCAAGGUGCCAUUGAUACUGCGGAGCUUGAGUACAGAUGAGGUAGGCGGAAUUGACGGUGUAGCGGUGAAAUGCGUAGAGAUCAUGAGGAAGACCAGUGGCGAAGGCGGGUCUCUGGACAGUUCCUGACACUGAGACACGAAGGCCAGGGGAGCAAACGGG
rnacentral:rRNA from 1 species